GAGAUGAGUGGACAGAUGUAGGAAGAAAAAGAUGCAUGUGUUAAUACUUCCACCCAUCGUGACUAACUGAUUCCUGCCAACACAUGAAUCUUCAGGCACUUUUCUAGUAGAUAUUUGAUAUCUGUGGGCAGCCACUAGUAGAAGAAGAAGGGAAAAGGGCGGGAGGAGACAAAGCACAGGGCUUUAAUGAAUAGGCUUUCAUUUGGGCAAAAUUGAGCAGCUGGGCCUCCACAGCCUCUACUACGAAAACUGUUCCAGUAAUACUGACUGUGUGUGUCUGUAAAUCUCUUAUAUGUUAUUUGUAUCCAGAAAUAUGGAGAGUAUCUCUUUAAUGUGCUUCAUAAACAAUGGAAGAUAUUUAGAAUACAGUACAUGAAAAGUUAUUAAUUUCUGUAUGUUUGCCAUUGUUGGAAGCCGGAGUGACUGUAAUGCCAGCAUUGGCUCCUGUUCACGAGACAUUUAAGGGAUGUUGUGUUUCAUCGGGUUGGAGGACAGGCCCUUCUUCCUUACUUCAGAACUUGGCUCUCACGUGGAGUGAGUGCCCUUUUAGGUCCCGGGGCGCAGGGGCCGUUUCUGGGUCCCUCAUGGCCGUAUUCCAAGAGCCAAGGACAGAGGCCGGCCUACGGAAGGUGUGCGGUAAAUAUUUGUGGAAUGAGCAGAUACUCUGGAAUCCUCUCUCUGUUCCCACCUGUCGUGGAAAUCCAAGUCCCCUCUAGGGGCAGGGCCACUGCAGGCUUGCCCUCUCCAGAGUCCUAGCUCACGGUGAGCCCUUUGAAUGGUAGCUGUCUAAACCACAUACUUUGGCAUUUAAUCUUUUAUGGCUUUAUAUUGUUGCAUGAGCGUUUCCUGUGUUUUGUUUCUCCACCCAAAAUACAGGCUACUCGAGGGCAGGGAAUACAUGUUUACACAGGUCUGUGUUUGAGAACUUCCUUGUUCAUCCAGUGUAAUAAUUUGUACCGAGUAUGUUUAUUUUUACCUAUUGAGUGAAUAUUAGGUGCCAUGGGGGGAACAUCAGAAAUAUUCAAAAUGUGGUCCCAGUCCUCGCGUAGGUAGUAUUUCAGUUGGGCAAACGUUGUGUACACACGUGGAACAAUACGAGAAUUUGGAGUUACAUAAAGCAAAUAAUGAUAGCUAACAUUGAUGUAGUGCUUAAAAUGUGCUUUUACAUGUAAAUGUAUUCGACUCUCACAACAGUACUUUGACGUAGGUACAGUUAUAAUCCCAUUUUUCACAUGAGGAAACUGAGGCACAGGGAGGUAAUUAAGUCACCUGCCCGAGACCACAAUGUGAGUAGUAAGCAGGGAGGUGGGAUAUGAACCCAGGCAGCCUGGCUCUUGAGUCAGUGUGGGUUCUCUGGGGAGUUUUACUUUAUCAAAGACAGAAAAGAGAGCUAAAAGUUGACCCUAGUUUCUCAGCUGUAAAGGAAGCUCUUUAAAAAUUUCAAGGUAGCAUACAUGAUGGCAGUGACUCUGAGCUGCAGAAACAAUGCUGGAUUUUCCAGGCAGAAGAGGUUGAUAAUGAAAUGGUUGAGGGGACUGUAUUUUGAAAUGACUGAAGGCAAGAGGAGAAAAACCAAAUUUUGAACCUCAAAGCUGAGGGGGACUAGGACCCUUGGUAGUUGUUGAAUUCUAGGGCAGUGAUUCACCAGGACAAAGGGCAGUGACUGCUUAAGAUACUAAUUCAGUGUCAAAUAACUCAUGUGAAAGAGCUCUUCUUUUUUCAACACUUUUAAACCCCUAGUGAAUGCAAUUUACCAGGAUGGGAGCAAUACUGAAGGCUUCUGGUGCCCAUCUGUCCUUUUGCCUUGUCCUUUUGUGAAAUCUUGACCCACUUUUUCAGCUUGUCUUGGACAGUAGAGCACACUCUUGGGGCCCAGAGGCCUCUUCCAACCAAGUAAUAUUUCUUUGGUGGAAAAAAACUUAACGGCACUGUUGGUUUGGUGACAAACCUGGAGUGAGGUCACUUUGAAGCCAUGUGGACUUCGAUGAGGGCCUGCAAACAAAAUCCAGCAAGAUGAAGGAAUGUAGUAUACUCUGAAAGCCCAGUUUUGUGUCCCUUUAGUCGGGAGCUGACAAUAUUAUUUUGGGGGUGUUGGGCACCAACAGAGCCCAUUGAAUCCACAUGACUCGGCCGAUAGGGGAGCACACACGUCACCAUACCCGCUGUCCAGGAAUCAGAGGAGGAGGUGCCCUGGGGUGAAGCCUGGGCCACAGCCCCGGUUAGCAGCUCUGCAGGCAUCUUACCUUGGAAACAGCACAGCUUGGCUUCUGUGUCAUCGCUGAGUUCAGAGAAUCCUAGUUUCACCAUGUCCUCAGUAGAAACCAGAGAACCAGGUUUGUUCCUUCAAGAAGUGUCCCAGUGCCUUGGAAUUCAGCAGCUGUUUCCAGAAGUAAAUAAUCACGUCAGAUGCCUGUGAAUGGACUGUAUGGCCGAGUGACCUGUUGUGAUAUUCAUGGAAGAAUGGUUUAAAAAAAGACACAAAACUGAAGAAAAGGCAAAUUUCAAGAAUCGGCCCAAUGCCAUUUAGGAUUUUUGAGCAGCUGAAAGAAGAUAGUUCUGCAAAUACGAGCAACAAGACUCUAGCAUAUUUCUUUACAUGUUUCUUACAUUGUCUUUGUUAACCCAUUGCUUUUGUGUAUAAUAUUUGAGUUAUUUUUCCCCUGCUGCUAAAGCUGGUAAUCUGCUUACGAUCAGAGUUUCAAUCUGUGUGGAUAGAGAAAUAGUAGAUACAAUAGGAGAAAUGGGAGCUUAUAAUAGGAUGUUGGCCUUCAGAAAUUGACUUUCACUGAAGAAUUCCUCAAGGCGCGGAAUGUUGAGAAACUGCUUCUUCUCAGUGAUUGUUCAAAGCUUUGCGGCUUUAGGUUCAUCUUCCUUUAUCUUCCUCUCAGCCUCUGUGUGUGCCUGCUUUUUUUCUUGCACAGAGUUUUGGACCGAAAAUCUGAUGACUAUAUUUUUUCAGCUUAAAAAUAAAGAGUUAUAUGAAUUACAGCUUCAUAAAUAGACCUUUGGUACGGUA